GAUACGUAAUUUUUGCGAUGCGACCGAGAAUUUUAUCGCGUGGGUAGGUACUUGACUAUUUUGAACACAGUGCGCACUACGUAAGACAUGUUCUACACCGAGGAUCAAUCAGGUAAUUAACUAUCCGAUACUUUAAUAACAUGUGAUGUUUGUUUAGUCACGACGCGACGGUCACGAUUUCGUGAAUUCCUAAAAAUUAUUAGCUCUGUAAAUAGUUCGCGCGAAUACGCUUCUAAAUUCAUCAUCCAAUACAGCGGAUUGAAAUUUGUAAUUCUUCG